CGGGGCGUAGCGCAGUCUGGUAGCGCACCUGCAUGGGGUGCAGGUGGUCGGGGGUUCAAAUCCCUCCGCCCCGACCA
rnacentral:tRNA from 1 species